CCGCCGAGCCGAUUGUGGUGAAGUGGAUGAUCCUAUGCUGCCGAGAAAAGCCUCUAGUGAGUGUUGUGGCGGCCCGUACCCUAAACCGACUCAGGUGGUCAGGUAGAGAAUACCAAGGCGAUCGGGUGAACUGUGGUUAAGGAACUCGGCAAAUUGCCCCCGUAACUUCGGGAGAAGGGGGACCUCUGCUGGUGAUGGGCUUUACGUUCUGAGCUGGUGGGGGUCGCAGUGGCCAGGGGGAAGCGACUGUUUACUAAAAACACAGGUCCGUGCGAAGUCGUAAGACGAUGUAUACGGACUGACGCCUGCCCGGUGCCGGAACGUUAAGGGGACCGCUUAGCCAACGCGAGUUGGCGAAGGUGAGAACUUAAGCGCCGGUAAACGGCGGUGGUAACUAUAACCAUCCUAAGGUAGCGAAAUUCCUUGUCGGGUAAGUUCCGACCUGCACGAAUGGCGUAACGACUUCCCCGCUGUCUCAACCACAGACCCGGCGAAAUUGCACUACGAGUAAAGAUGCUCGUUUCGCGCAGCAGGACGGAAAGACCCCGGGACCUUCACUACAGCUUGACAUUGGCGUUUGGAACGUCUUGUGUAGGAUAGGUGGGAGACUGGGAAGCUGUCACGCUAGUGAUGGUGGAGUCAUUGGUGAAAUACCACUCUGGUCGUUUUGAACGUCUAACUCUGGUCCGUGAUCCGGAUCGGGGACAGUGUCUGGUGGGUAGUUUAACUGGGGCGGUUGCCUCCUAAAGAGUAACGGAGGCGCCCAAAGGUUCCCUCAGCCUGGUUGGCAAUCAGGUGUUGAGUGUAAGUGCACAAGGGAGCUUGACUGUGAGACUGACAGGUCGAGCAGGAGCGAAAGCUGGGACUAGUGAUCCGGCAUCGGCGUGUGGAAGCGGUGUCGCUCAACGGCUAAAAGGUACCCCGGGGAUAACAGGCUGAUCUUCCCCAAGAGUCCAUAUCGACGGGAUGGUUUGGCACCUCGAUGUCGGCUCGUCGCAUCCUGGGGCUGGAGUAGGUCCCAAGGGUUGGGCUGUUCGCCCAUUAAAGCGGUACGCGAGCUGGGUUUAGAACGUCGCGAGACAGUUCGGUCCCUAUCCGCUGCGCGCGCAGGAGACUUGAAGGGGGCUGUCCCUAGUACGAGAGGACCGGGACGGACGAACCUCUGGUGUGCCAGUUGUACCGCCAGGUGCACGGCUGGUUGGCUACGUUCGGAAGGGAUAACCGCUGAAAGCAUCUAAGCGGGAAGCUCGCCUUGAGAUGAGGUCUCCCACCCUGUGAGGGGGUAAGGCUCCCGGUAGAUCACCGGGUUGAUAGGCCGGAGGUGGAAGCACGGUAACGUGUGGAGCUGACCGGUACUAAUAGGCCGAGGACUUGACCAC
rnacentral:rRNA from 1 species